UACGAAGGGUGCAAGCGUUAGUCGGAAUUACUGGGCGUAAAGCGUGCGUAGGCGGUUUCUUAAGUCCGUUGUGAAAGCCCCGGGCUCAACCUGGGAAUGGCAGUGGAUACUGAGAGGCUAGAGUGUGUCAGAGGAUGGUGGAAUUCCCGGUGUAGCGGUGAAAUGCGUAGAGAUCGGGAGGAACAUCAGUGGCGAAGGCGGCCAUCUGGGACAACACUGACGCUGAGGCACGAAAGCGUGGGGAGCAAACAGG
rnacentral:rRNA from 1 species